rnacentral:lncRNA from 7 species
CUGAAAGAUGUAUUUUUCAGAUAGCUUGUGUUUUCCUGACCAGGCACUCAUAGGCAGUGCUUUUACAUUAAAUUUUUACAUGAUAUAUAUGUAUGUAUUAAUAAGAAUCUGAGAACAAAAAGCUGUAUUUACUUUCAUGAAUACAACUUGUGACUGGAACCAGAAGGAAUGCCACAGUCCAAGAAAGUCAUCUUGCUGUGCUUUUUUCUUACCUAAGAGAGCUCUGGUUUUGAACAUGGGUGAGAUGGCCAAAGAAAUACUGGGACUAUUAUCUUCUAAUAACUUCUGUCUAAAUGACAAUUACUACAAACCUGGUUCAUGUCAGAUGAAAUGCAAUAUUCUUUGCAGUGACAUGGUUCAAAAGAAAAGGUUUAAAAUCUGUGAAUGUUCCAGUCCUGUAAAAAGCAUUUCUAUCAGGCAGCAUUCACUUUAAGACAAUCUAUAGCUUUUAAUUCUUAAAAAAAAUACAUUUUUUUUUCUCUAAUGCAUACAUACAGCCCCUCUUCAGCUUUUUCAGAGUGAUGCUGUGUUAAUCUAGUGAAGGUCAGUCUGAGAAAACUCAACUAACAAAGAAAGUGCUCUUAUGAAUCGUAUCACGUCAUGUCAGGCUCACAGAUAAAUGGGCAUUAGCUAUAGAUUGAGAUACUUACCAGUUCAUCAAAUUCCUUCAUAUGUCUGGUAUUUUAUCUUGGAUUAUGUACCAUUGGGUUCAAUUUAAUAUUUUGUAAGUUAUUAGUUUGUAAUUGUUUUCAUAUAUUUGUACAUUAAAUACAGAAGGAGUGGGUGUAAUCUGAAGCACAACUGAAUUUUCUCUCCCUCUGCUACAAUAUAGAUAAUCAUGAUUUAUUAUGAUAGGUAGUAAUUUGCUUGCAAUGAAUCAUAUUUUAUCAAGAAGCAAAAUAAGUAUUUUUAUCUCUGAAGAAUUCUCUGUGCUUUUUUUCCCCUUCUUUGUGUUUCAUUUGUAACUUUUCUUUAUGGCUUAGGAGUUUCAUGACUCAGAGAGACACUAGAGCACAGCUCAAAUUUUGGACUGUAUGUUUUAAAGACAAUGUGAGAUUAAAUAGCCAAGAUAAUGGAAGAGUGAACAGAUUUACACAUCCUUACUUCUCUAACUGUUUCUGAUCUUCGGGGUAAUGUUUGUCACACCACCAUUCAGAGUAUUUGGAAAGUAGCCUGACUCACGUUUUGGCAUGACUAUAAGGAGACCUGUGUCCUAUGGCUGUCUCCCAUUUUGUUUCUUCAAAACACUUUUGUGUCUUCACUUCAUCUUGGCAGAAUACACCAGGGCUGGCUAGCUGAGAAGAGAAAGCUUUAAAGGGAAGGCAGGUUGACUUCAAUGGAAAUGCUCCAUGAGCGAGCUGCAGCUAUCUGCAGUGACUGCACUGGAAAGACACCUGAGAAUGUGAGUGCUUUUCCUGGAAUUAGAAAGCAAGGGUGAAUGUGAAGAAGACUGAAGGCCUUGAUAUUAAGGAAGUCAUUUAUAUGAAAUACAGCAUGCCAUCCCAACAAAUGAUAAAAACUCAUGACUGCUGAACCAGAAAUAUCUGACUCCUUACAAUAUUUAUUGCAAAGUAGUAGUUUCCAGUGAAAAUUCCUGUGACAAAAGUGAAGGGGCUAUCUGCUAUUUAGGGUAUAUGGCAGAUGGCAAUGGGUCAUGUAGUGUAUCUCCCUGAUACUGUUCAUUUUCCAGGCCAGUUGGUUACAUUUGACAGGUCUACUCAGAAAUCAUUAACCUGAUCUGCCCAUGUCUGUCAUGUCUCUAGCAUAAUGCAUCUUCAUGGUAUAAGGUAAACUGGGUACCUGGAGGGUAAAGGAAAUAAAAAAGACUCAUAGCCUAUAUAAAUCAAAAGAAAAAGGAGAAAAGGAAGCCACUUAGAAGAGUAGGUGUCAUUGAUUGACUGUAAUUUUAAAGGGUCUUUCUUAUGAUGGACAAAUUUCUGAAGUGUUCAUUAACUAAUGGAAUUAUGGUGGCUGACUGCUGCUGUCUCCACAGAACAUCAGGUUAAAAAGCACAGAUAAAUAAUGGGUUUUCCUUUAUUAUGGAUCAGUGUCCUCACUGUCUGGAGCUCAUGUGAAGAUGCUGUUAAGGAUUAAGGGGCUUUCAUUACUGAAAUUCAUGUUUAUGCUUUUCUGUUCCUCAAUAAUGGUAUACACAUGCACAAGGGAAUAGGAAGGGGGAAAAGAAGGGAAGAUGGAAAUGUUGCCAGCAGAGAAGAAAAUUAUUCUGAAAUGCUUGGUAAUAAAUGCUUUUCCUACUGCAAAACACCAAAUGAAACUGAACUCAGAGGGUUAAACAAUAGAGGCAUAGCACCUGGUCUUUAAUAUAUUCAAUUAUCCAGAAAACAAAAUCAAUUUUGUUUUUGUUAAUAGCACUGAAAUAUGCAUUACACUAUUUUAAUUAAAGCAGUCUAUUACGCUUGCAAUUCAGUUCAUUCCUGCAUAUUCCCCUAGGGCAGUAGUCAUGUACUGUGAUAAAACAUAAUGAAAAUAAUUUAUAAAAGAAACAAUACAAUAAAUCAAUCUGAUGCCUAAUGAACCU